rnacentral:tRNA from 1 species
GUCGCUAUAGCUCAGUUGGAUAGAGCGACCGCCUCCUAAGCGGUAGGCCGGAGGUUCGACUCCUCUUAGCGACG